CCUUCUUCAUCGGUCCCAGCUUUCCUUUCUCUCUAAAAUUUCGGUUUCUUUUCUCCUUGAGUUCUAGCCAUCCAAGAACUUCUCCAAGAUCAGAACUCCCCAAACCCUUUAAAUUCCACAUUGAUUCCUUCCCCUCUUCUUCCAACUUGGAUCCGAGUAAAGGGAGAUUAAAACCUAGGGUUUGUGAUUCUUCCAACGUGAGUUCGAGCUUAAGCAUCGGGUGGAGUUCCUGCCUUGGAUUUCGAUUUCAGUCAAGAGCUAGGUUUUCGACGGCUUGGUGCGAUUCUCCUCGUCGAAUUCGCCGACUUUGAUUCAGGAUCUCAGCUCCCUCUUUGCCUCAGAUUCGAGUUUUGCUUAGUGGUGGAUUUUCUCAAUUCAGAUCACGCUAUUCUCGAGUUCAGGUGAACCUCGAAUGCUUCUGUUUCAAUUUUGGUUGUGUCUGUGAUCUUUAGCUUGGUAAUUGAACUUUAGUUCUUGAACUUUGGGGGAAAACCUGAAAUUGAUGGCUGAAACUUUGGACUGUUCAUGGCUAAAAAAUUGUG